rnacentral:rRNA from 1 species
AUUGAACGCUGGCGGAAUGCUUUACACAUGCAAGUCGAACGGCAGCACGGGGCAACCUGGUGGCGAGUGGCGAACGGUGAGUAAUACAUCGGAACGUGCCCAAUCGUGGGGGAUAACGUAGCGAAAGUCACGCUAAUACCGCAUACGAUCUACGGAUGAAAGCGGGGAUCGCAAGACCUCGCGCGAAUGGAGCGGCCGAUGUCAGAUUAGGUAGUUGGUGGGGUAAAGGCUCACCAAGCCGACGAUCUGUAGCUGGUCUGAGAGGACGACCAGCCACACUGGGACUGAGACAC